rnacentral:lncRNA from 1 species
AAGCCUAUACCUUUCUGAUUCAGUUUCAAAAAUUCAAAGUCUUUCGAAACAGGUAUGUUAAUAUUACCUAAUGAUAAUUUAGUCGAAAAAGUUAACAAUUGUUGUGUUUGAAUUAUAUAUGAAGUGAAUGGAGAUAAAGGAGGAAAAGACGAGACAAAUUCAAAACCCACCAGGUUUUACUUUUAGGUAAGCAAUUCUUUUUUCUUGCUUUCUUUAUAGUGACAUACAUUUUUGGUACUUAAUUUUAAUUAUAUAUUUCGGUUUUGGUCCCUAAAGGAAUCGGGUUAUAAUUCAACCCUUUUUUGGAGUUUUUCAAUGAUUUUGAUCCAUAUUUCAUAAGAAAUGAUCAUGUUGCCCUUUAAUUGUUUUUUUACAAAUACUUCUUAUCAUAUAGUGUUUAGCUCAUAAUAACUUCAAUUCCAGAACUUGAAGCUUCUCUAGGAGUAGUAGCAUAGCUAGAGCACAAUAACAUGAUGUGACAAAAGUUCGUUUUAAGGAAUGUCAAGGUUUUGCAUAAUAUGGUGUUGGAGGGUAAUAUUAGAAAAAUAUUGGUUUCUUAAUUUGUAUUUGAUUGGGAGUGGUUUUUUUUUCUUUUGUAGUCACUUGUUGAUGGAUUACAUGCACAUAAGGAUUUUGCUUAUGAUAUCCUUAUGUUGAGUGGUA